rnacentral:lncRNA from 1 species
GCUAUAAAAUUCUGAGACUAAAUAUCAAAUUAAAGAAAGUACUAAUUGUCAGCGAUGGGGGAUGUACUGCUAUUUGCUUCUAGUGGUACUCACUGCUCAUUUCCUAUAUUCACUGGUAUAAAAAAAUUUCAAACACCCUCAAAAAAGCCUAUACUGGUGGUACCAGGAAAACGCUGAAAAUCAUUACUUUCUGUGUGGUGUCCAGCUCUUUUGGUUACAUCAUCACUUCGACCAUUCACUUUUAAAGAAAAACUUUUGUGGAACAAAAAUAUAAAGAUUUAUUUUUUUUCUUGGUGGCUUAGCACAGUGGCCUAAUGUGGCUGACCAUGUGCACCUGUUGUGUGAGUCACUUAGACGUGCUUUGUUUCUUGGUCACAGUUGAUCCCUCAACUCAAGCAUCUCACCCUCAAAAUGUUUGUUUGGGACCCAAGAGGCAAACCUUGAGAUGGGUUAUUUCUUUCACCUUGGAUUGGCUCAUCUGCUGGGAGUGGAGCCAAGCUGACAUUUCCUUUCCUUUUUGUCUGCCUAUCACUACGUAGAGGCAGCACAUAAGAGAGGGAAAGCCAUGCGCGUGGAGUCCAGCACAUCACCCAGAAGGCAGAUGUUCUAUCUCCAUUUUACUCAUUAAAACAAACAAAACCACACCUGGAUUGCCUGGUACUUAAAUAAAAUGCACUAUGAUGAUUGAAGAAAAAUA